AAGUCGUAACAAGGUUUCCGUAGGUGAACCUGCGGAAGGAUCAUUAUUGAAAACAAGGGUGUCCAAUUUAACUUGGAACCCGAACUUCUCAAUUCUAACUUUGUGCAUCUGUAUUAUGGCGAGCAGUCUUCGGAUUGUGAGCCUUCACUUAUAAACACUAGUCUAUGAAUGUAAAAUUUUUUAUAACAAAUAAAAA
rnacentral:misc_RNA from 1 species